rnacentral:rRNA from 1 species
GACGAACGCUGGCGGCGUGCUUAACACAUGCAAGUCGAACGGAAAGGCCCUGCUUUUGUGGGGUGCUCGAGUGGCGAACGGGUGAGUAACACGUGAGUAACCUGCCCUUGACUUUGGGAUAACUUCAGGAAACUGGGGCUAAUACCGGAUAGGAGCUCCUGCUGCAUGGUGGGGGUUGGAAAGUUUCGGCGGUUGGGGAUGGACUCGCGGCUUAUCAGCUUGUUGGUGGGGUAGUGGCUUACCAAGGCUUUGACGGGUAGCCGGCCUGAGAGGGUGACCGGCCACAAUGGGACUGAGGUACGGCCCAGACUCCUACGGGAGGCAGCAGUGGGGAAUAUUGCACAAUGGGCGGAAGCCUGAUGCAGCCACGCCGCGUGCGGGAUGACGGCCUUCGGGUUGUAAACCGCUUUCGCCUGUGACGAAGCGUGAGUGACGGUAAUGGGUAAAGAAGCACCGGCUAACUACGUG